rnacentral:rRNA from 1 species
GACGAACGCUGGCGGCGUGCUUAACACAUGCAAGUCGGACGGAAAGGCCCUGCUUUUGUGGGGUGCUCGAGUGGCGAACGGGUGAGUAACACGUGAGUAACCUGCCCUUGACUUUGGGAUAACUUCAGGAAACUGGGGCUAAUACCGGAUAGGAGCUCCUGCUGCAUGGUGGGGGUUGGAAAGUUUCGGCGGUUGGGGAUGGACUCGCGGCUUAUCAGCUUGUUGGUGGGGUAGUGGCUUACCAAGGCUUUGACGGGUAGCCGGCCUGAGAGGGUGAACGGCCACAUUGGGACUGAGAGACGGCCCAGACUCCUACGGGAGGCAGCAGUGGGGAAUAUUGCACAAUGGGCGGAAGCCUGAUGCAGCAACGCCGCGUGCGGGAUGACGGCCUUCGGGUUGUAAACCGCUUUCGCCUGUGACGAAGCGUGAGUGACGGUAAUGGGUAAAGAAGCACCGGCUAACUACGUG